GAUGAACGCUGGCGGCGUGCCUAAUACAUGCAAGUCGAGCGAAUGGAUUAAGAGCUUGCUCUUAUGAAGUUAGCGGCGGACGGGUGAGUAACACGUGGGUAACCUGCCCAUAAGACUGGGAUAACUCCGGGAAACCGGGGCUAAUACCGGAUAACAUUUUGAACCGCAUGGUUCGAAAUUGAAAGGAGGCUUCGGCUGUCACUUAUGGAUGGACCCGCGUCGCAUUAGCUAGUUGGUGAGGUAACGGCUCACCAAGGCAAAGAUGCGUAGCCGACCUGAGAGGGUGAUCGGCCACACUGGGACUGAGACACGGCCCAGACUCCUACGGGAGGCAGCAGUAGGGAAUCUUCCGCAAUGGACGAAAGUCUGACGGAGCAACGCCGCGUGAGUGAUGAAGGCUUUCGGGUCGUAAAACUCUGUUGUUAGGGAAGAACAAGUGCUAGUUGAAUAAGCUGACACCUUGACGGUACCUAACCAGAAAGCCACGGCUAACUACGUGCCAGCAGCCGCAGUAA
rnacentral:rRNA from 1 species